rnacentral:misc_RNA from 1 species
AAACUCUUCUCCUAAUGCAUAUUUCCUAAUUAACAUACAUUUUCUUGAACCUGUAACUUCUUUUGUGCUUUCUGGUUUUGAUUGGUAAGGCCUGGUUGCUCUUCUUUUGGCAAUAACAAAGACGACAAAACUAUGCAUCAAAAUUAAUUUGAUUGCAAAAUUUGUCGGCAAUUUGUUGUUUUUCGUUUUUUAAACCGCAUUUUGUUGAGCGUAAUCUUGA